rnacentral:rRNA from 1 species
UACGUAGGGUGCGAGCGUUAAUCGGAAUUACUGGGCGUAAAGCGUGCGCAGGCGGUGCACCAAGCUCGAUGUGAAAGCCCCGGGCUUAACCUGGGAAUUGCAUUCGAGACUGCAUUGCUGGAGUACGGAAGAGGAGGGCGGAAUUCCCGGUGUAGCGGUGAAAUGCGUAGAUAUCGGGAGGAACAUCAGUGGCGAAGGCGGCCCUCUGGUCCAGUACUGACACUCAAGUGCGAAAGCGUGGGGAGCAAACAGG